GACGAACGCUGGCGGCGUGUUUAACACAUGCAAGUCGAGCGGAGCGGCGAACGGGUGAGUAACGCGUGAGUAACUGCCCCCCCCUCUGGGUUAACAGUUGGAAACGGCUCCUAAUACCGGAUAGGGGGGGAUGACUCGCGGCCUAUGAGCUUGUUGGUGGGGUAGGGGCCUACCAAGGCGAAGACGGGUAGCCGGCCUGAAAGGGUGACCGGCCACGUUGCGCUGAGCUACGGCCCAGGCUACUACGGGAGGCAGCAGUGGGGGAUAUUGAACAAGGGGCGAAAGCAUGAUGCAGCGUCGCCGCGUGGGGGAUGAAGGCUUUCGGGUUGUAAACCUCUUUCGCUAUCGAACGGGUACGUGGAGAAGAAGCGCCGGCUAACUACGUGCCAGCAGCCGCGGUAAUAC
rnacentral:rRNA from 1 species